rnacentral:lncRNA from 1 species
AUUUCUUUAACAUGCCCAUAUUUACCACAAGCAAAACACACUGUCCAAAGAGCCUCAUAUUCGACACGUUGGACAGCACCGUCAACAAUAACCUGCGAAAUCAAUGGCUUUUCCAGAUUAAUGUAAACAGCUAAAUGAGUAAAUCGGCUUCUAGUCUGAUUAUCAGUCUAGACAUCAAGUUUGACCACCUUCCCAAUGAGAUCCCCAAUGGCUUCAAUUAUUUUUCCGUUUAUAAAGGUAUCCCGGGAGACUCGGCAGAUGAAUCCAGGCUAGCACCACACUAGGGUAAGGUUGUGAAGGUCUAAAGUGUUUAGUCCAUAGUUGAACAGUCAGGUACUGUCCAUAGACGAUCCAAGGGCCCU